GCGAGCGUUGCUUAAUGGUAAAGCUCCGGCCUUCCAAGCCGGUCAUGUGGGUUCGAUCCCCAUCGCUCGCUCCA
rnacentral:tRNA from 1 species